AUUGAACGCUGGCGGCAGGCUUAACACAUGCAAGUCGAGCGGGGGAAGGUAGCUUGCUACUGGACCUAGCGGCGGACGGGUGAGUAAUGCUUAGGAAUCUGCCUAUUAGUGGGGGACAACAUCUCGAAAGGGAUGCUAAUACCGCAUACGUCCUACGGGAGAAAGCAGGGGAUCUUCGGACCUUGCGCUAAUAGAUGAGCCUAAGUCGGAUUAGCUAGUUGGUGGGGUAAAGGCCUACCAAGGCGACGAUCUGUAGCGGGUCUGAGAGGAUGAUCCGCCACACUGGGACUGAGACACGGCCCAGACUCCUACGGGAGGCAGCAGUGGGGAAUAUUGGACAAUGGGGGGAACCCUGAUCCAGCCAUGCCGCGUGUGUGAAGAAGGCCUUAUGGUUGUAAAGCACUUUAAGCGAGGAGGAGGCUACUCUAGCUAGUACCUAGGGAUAGUGGACGUUACUCGCAGAAUAAGCACCGGCUAACUCUGUGCCAGCCGCCGCGGUAA
rnacentral:rRNA from 1 species